UACAGAGGUCCCAAGCGUUGUUCGGAUUCACUGGGCGUAAAGGGCGCGUAGGCGGCCGCCUAAGUCAGACGUGAAAUCCCUCGGCUCAACCGGGGAACUGCGUCUGAUACUGGGUGGCUUGAAUCCGGGAGAGGGAUGCGGAAUUCCAGGUGUAGCGGUGAAAUGCGUAGAUAUCUGGAGGAACACCGGUGGCGAAGGCGGCAUCCUGGACCGGCAUUGACGCUGAGGCGCGAAAGCCAGGGGAGCAAACGGG
rnacentral:rRNA from 1 species